UACGUAGGAUGCGAGCGUUGUCCGGAAUUAUUGGGUGUAAAGAGAACGUAGGCGGUUUCUUAAGUUUGGUCUUAAAGACCGGGGCUCAACCCCGGGAAUGGAUCGAAAACUGGGAGACUGGAGGAUGUCAGAGGAAAGUGGAAUUCCGAGUGUAGCGGUGAAAUGCGUAGAUAUUCGGAGGAACACCAGUGGCGAAAGCGACUUUCUGGGGCAUUCCUGACGCUGAGGUUCGAAAGCUCGGGGAGCAAACAGG
rnacentral:rRNA from 1 species